AUAAAAAACUAGAUCGCGAUGUAAGAUAAUGAAAAAUAAAAAGUGCUAAGUGCAAAAGGGAUGUUCCAAUCUGUAUGAAACUCCCGUAAGAAAUUUGACAAAAUUAUAAUUUCUCUGUUAGAAAAUUUCCAUUAAAUCAAUGACAAUUAAAAAUUGAGAAAUGUGGUCACUGCAAGAACUGGCAUGUAUUUGUGAAAGAAAGAUGCUGACAAAGGAUAAUUCCAAAACUGAACAUUAUAAUUGUGACCCAAGCAAAACUGGCCAAUAUAUAAGGGUCAUCAAACAUCAAUAAUUUAAUUGCUAAAAUAAUAGCAAACUAACGAGCAAUAAAGUCAUGCCGUUAGGUAAAACAGGUGCUGUAUCUAAAUACUACCUCUGUUAUAUGUACAAAAA
rnacentral:lncRNA from 1 species